rnacentral:rRNA from 1 species
UACGAAGGGGGGCUAGCGUUGCUCGGAAUCACUGGGCGUAAAGCGCACGUAGGCGGCUUGUUAAGUCAGGGGUGAAAUCCCGGAGCUCAACUCCGGAACUGCCUUUGAUACUGGCAAUCUUGAGGCUGGAAGAGGUUAGUGGAAUUCCCAGUGUAGAGGUGAAAUUCGUAGAUAUUGGGAAGAACACCAGUGGCGAAGGCGGCUAACUGGUCCAGACUCUGACGCUGAGGUGCGAAAGCGUGGGGAGCAAACAGG